CACUGUUACCAAGAAGACCACAUGGUGCCGAACCUGCAUUUAGUUUUACUAAUUAGCUCACCUGCCGCAGCUCACCUGCCAGGUGGUUUUCUUCAUUAGUUAAUUGGUUGCAUCUGGUGCGUUUCACUUAAAAGGGAACCGGACAGUAGAUUUGUUUGUGUACUGUUUUGAUGAAGUCUGUUGUGACUUAUUUAACAUCUCUUCGAGUUUCCCAGGUUAAAGACUUUUUGAAGUAAAGAAGAGCAUCUCAUCUGAACCUGAUGUCUAUCAUGGAUAUUUAACUGCAGUUCUGUGAGUAUCCGAACUCUACAAUGAAGCAUAACUGCAAACUGUAAGUCAUUAAUUUCUCAUUACUCUUGGGCACAUUGAUGUAUUUUGGCUUCCUAGUGAAUUAACCUGUUACCUGAAGGUUGAUCUGAGUAUUAAGGAUGUUUUAUAUUGGUUCAUGGGUUACUUAGGUGUUUGGUUUAUAUUGGUAUUCAUUUUUGAUUGAUUUGUUAAAAUGGUUACAGGCUCCAAAUUAUUGUUGUAAGCUGGAGUAAUUGGUUGGGUUCUGAUAUCUUCAGUCUUUUUUCAUUCUACUCUCCUGAGCUCUGCAUCUUCAUCACUUCAUGAGUGUUGCUUUACUGACACUGAGGGUGUGGUCUGAGUGAGCAGAGGUGCAUACUGGGAUACAGAGCUGUCUCGAGUCUACAGGUCUGUAGACACGGCCCCUCAGGGGAAACCGAGUGUUUGAGAAACUGUCGUGACGUCAGUUACAUGGACUGGAAUGUUCUUAAAGAUGGAGACAGGGAUUCAGAAGGAGAAACACCAGGGGGAGAUGAGGGGGCUCCUCAUCUCAACGACUGAAACACAACUUCAGUCUGACACAGAACCAUGGAACACAUUCAACAGUCCCCUCCAGGCAUCGUGACUCCACAGGAACAGUUUCAUUUCCAAGAAGGUCUUAUUUGGGGCCAUCCCCAUAUGGAUCCUGCUCCUCAAGAGCCACCCCCCUCCACUGGGUGGUUUUCUGAACAGAUGACCUCCUUCCUGUCCUCAGGCUGACUAAAGCUGCACCGUUUGCAUCUGUGAAGGCCCCUCAUUCAGGAAACCACUGGACUUCAAAGACAUGACUUCAGAGAUGUUGAAUCAACACAUUGGGACACAUUUUGGAGACGCCAAGCAUAAUCCAUCACCAAUGUGGGACGCCACUGAAGAAUGUUGUACAUAAUUUACGUCUCUGGAGACAUUGGUUGUUCUGUUAUGGGUGCCCUGGCAGGAGAGCUGGGGGGGAUGCUGGAAUGUUAUUUGCUAUGAGGUUUUUACCCUGCCUGAUUGUUUGGCCUUUUAUGGCUCAGUGGUGUGUGUGUGUGUGUGUGUCAUGAGAUGGAAGAUUUUUGAUCAUCGCUAGGGUUUUACUGUGUGUGUCUCCCACUCACACCUGGCAUGCGGUUCUACGUGCCUGUCCUGGGUUCCAUGCGUGUGUGUGUCCGGCUUGCUUUGACAGUGAUAAUGUUCAUACGGGGGUCUGUGUGAUUGGCUUGGGAUAUUGGAAUGGUCAACUAAAUCAUACCUGAUGGACGGCCACACGUUUACUUAAGGGCCUCCAGUAGACAUGAAGAGCCCUGAGCGACGCUCCGGAGCGAGAUCCAACACACUGGGAAGGAAGGAGAGUAUCCAAAUCAAGUGUAAAAGGAUGCAAGCGGUGUGUUCAGAUCAGUGACUUCAAACUAGGACUACAACAAUCAGGAUCAAUGGAGGAUGGACACCAAAAGGAAUUCCACAAGGAGAGUCUGACGUUGGAAAGGGACCUAAAUGGAUAUUCAAGAUGACCUUCAGACCUUUAAUGAGACGGCUCUUCCUACCUGGCUGGAUUGAUGGAGAGCCCUGUGGAUCUUGUCUUGCUCUCAGUUGCACAUCUUCUCAGGCUGAACUGUAUUUGUUUCGGACAGGACUAGCUGAACGAUUGGUUCCCUUAAAUCAGAACCAAUCCGGGAACUCGAGCUUGUGCGCUCUUCGAGCUGAAGUUGUGCUCUUCAGCUGAGGAGGUGAGGAAACCUUCACUGGGGCUUCAAGGUGUAAAGAGGAGAAUGUUUCAAAGUGUUCCAUGGUAGUCUGAAGACCGUUGUGUUCCACUGGCUGCGAGGAAGAACCCACACAUCUUCCUCUUGGCCUUUCUCCUCUGAGAAUCCUGGCGCCAUCUUGAAGGAUAUUCCAGCUCAUGUAACUGUAGUCACGACAGAUUCUCAAACACUUGGUUUCUCCUGAGGGGCGUGUCUAUGGAACUGAAGACUUCAGACAGCACUGUAUCCCAGCAUGCAUCUCUGCUCACUCAGACCACACCCCCGUGAGUAGGAUGCAACACUCUAGUGAUAGCGAUGUAGAGUUUUAUAAGUAACGAGGGAGCAGACUAAGGUGAUUAGAACCCAAUGCAAUGUCAAGUCUGUAAAUCUUUAAACCAUGAAGAUGGUUGGAUAGUUCAGGAAUUGGGCUUCUUUUUAUUAUGGGCAGUCCUUUCACUCAGAUGCCCACUUCUCACUGGAGCUGUACAUGUGUUGGCUGGCAUGAUUUGCUGUUGGUGAUGAGGCGGUCAGGGUGACGUUGCAGGGCUAUGGUCAGCUCUCUGUGAGCUCAACGUUUAGAUUUGCUCUGUAUUGUUUGUACCCUGAAUAAUCUAGAUAAUUGUAAAAUGUAGACACGGUUUUGUAUUGAAUGAUUUUAGGUUUAAAGUUGUUGUGGGACGUACAUGGUAGUUUGGUUCUUCGUAUGGUUUUGAUUGAUAUAACUUGUACACACUGGGUGCAUAAUAAUGUAAAUGUACACUGAAUAGUAGAAAUGACCAACAGCAACAAACAGAUCUCCUCAAGGUAAGUCUGUUGGCUGUAUUUUAAUGAAGACCAUCGCUGGACUUCAGGAUCUUCCUCCGUUCAGCUCAAGGUGAGGCGCUGGUUCUGUUUUUCUUUGGUUGGUUCCGGCCGGAAUGUUCGUAUUCCAGUCGGACGGUUUGUGCUUCCCGCCGUGGAAGGUUCUGAGUGCGGUCACGCGAUUUAGUCCCAAUGGUUGGCAUAGAACGUUGUAGUCUUGACAACCAUAAGAAACCACCUGGCAGUUAGUUGGACGGGAGUCCCCUGAGGGAAUCUGGCGGACUGUUUUGGAUUGUAUUUGCGUAACCUCGAGCCGUUGCCCAUUUUUCAGUCGGUUUCCAUUGGGAAUUGUUGCCCCUAUCUUAAACAAAUUAAGUUUGAUAUUAAAUACUUACUCACACGUACGUCGUACAAUAUGUUGAUAAUUUCCGAUGGUUGCGCCGUACUUUAACCACGAUGACGUGACGGGACUCUCACUGCGUACAAAACAGCGUUCUACUUGCGGGCCCAUUUUUUUACAUCAGGGAAGGCUGAAAAUCAUUUCAAGGUGGAAGAUAAUUUGACAUUUCUUCAACGGAACCCAGCACCUGAAUAUGGUUGAGUAUAUUUGAUUUAAAUAUCGAUACUGCUUAGUGUUCUUUGUUACUUCAGCUUUUGUAGGUUCUAAAUAUCUGCUGUCAUUAAUUGCCACAGAAGUUAAACCCUAUCCAAUGGAAUAACGUUAAACAACGACUUUGGUGCAGAGUUAACAACUGGAUAAUAUAAAAGCUAAAAUAAUGGCUAAGUCAUUCCCACGUUACAGUAGAAUAUACUUUAGAACUGUACAAGGUUAAAAAGGUAACAUGUAGUUUGUCCCAAGGUGUCUGCCUCCUCACCCAGAGCCAGACCUCCACCUCCUCACCCAGAGCCAGACCUCCACCUCCUCACCCAGAGCCAGACCUCCACCUCCUCACCCAGAGCCAGACCUCCACCUCCUGUCAGAAGUUCUCCAGAACAGCGGAAAGGCCUGGCUGAGAGGCUGGGGUCCGGAGGCUUGUGGUGCCAGGGUGGACCGGAGACUGAGGCUGGAGACCAGGGGCCUGCAGCACCGGACCAGAGGACCAGGACUCUGUCUGAGGAGAGCUGCUGGAGGAGCUGAGACGCUGGAGGACGACUAGGAAUCGACCAACAAGGAUUCCUCAGCGGAGGCGAGCUGGUAGGGGAGCCGUGAAUCUGGAGGAUGACCAUCACUCUACCAACAAGGAUUACUUUAGGGCCAGACUCGCGCUGUUUGUUCCAGACCAGGACUCUGGCUGAGGAGAGCUGAUGGAGGAGCCAAGACUCGAGCCAAGAGGACGACAUCACUCCACCAACCAGGAUCCUCACCAGGAAUCUGGAGGACUGAUGGAGAAGCCGUACAUCUGGAAGGCAAAUCCUGAGGACCACCAGGACUCUACCAUCAAGGAUUCCUCAUAAGUUUGCAUUAUCUGGACAUAGUGGACUAGACCCACCUGAGCUGAACCUCACCUGAUCCUGUUUGGUCGGGGGUAGACACACCUGAGCUAAACCCGCCCUGAUCCUGACAUCCUGCUGGUCCCGUCUCCUCAGUUCAUCUAAGCCUCGUCCUCCAGAAGACCUGCUGAGCUCAGCAGUCUGAGGCUGAUGGAUCAAUGACCUCCAGUGGGAGUGAUCUUCUUGACCCCACAUGUAACCGUGUGCUUCCACACGCCUUUCCCUGACGUCUGUCACUAACCUCACUACUCUCUACUGCUUCCUCUUUUCUUCCUUCUCUGUGGUUCACACCGUUACACUGAAGGCGCGUCUUCCUGCCCUCAGAGGGUUUAGCGUUAGGGUUGAGAGUCAGGGUUUAGAGUCAGGGACAGAGCUGGUUAGGGAGGACUGCUUUUACACAAACCUCUUCACUUGCUUUUCGGAAUGGUGGUGACAUUUUGAAAAGAUUCAUUUGAGAAAAUGUUUUCCUCUGCUUUCCUUUACAAAAUUGUAUUAAACUUCUGUCAAGUGUUUUUGUUUAUAUAUUAAAAUCCCACAUUGACUUCUACAUGUUUGGUGCGGUUCAUUUCUUACUAGAACGUGUUUCUGGAGCGGAGGCGAGCUGGUAGGGGAGCCGUGACUCUGGAGGAUGACCAUCACUCUAACAACAAGACUUUAGGGCCAGACUCGCGCUGUUUGUUCCAGACCAGGACUCUGGCUGAGGAGAGCUGAUGGAGGAGCCAAGACUCGAGCCAAGAGGACGACAUCACUCCACCAACCAGGAUCCUCACCAGGAAUCUGGAGGACUGAUGGAGAAGCCGUACAUCUGGAAGGCAAAUCCUGAGGACCACCAGGACUCUACCAUCAAGGAUUCCUCAUAAGUUUGCAUUUUCUGGACAUAGUGGACUAGACGCACCUGAGCUGAACCUCACCUGAUCCUGUUUGGUCGAGGGUAGACACACCUGAGCUAAACCCGCCCUGAUCCUGACAUCCUGCUGGUCCCGUCUCCUCAGUUCAUCUAAGCCUCGUCCUCCAGAAGACCUGCUGAGCUCAGCAGUCUGAGGCUGAUGGAUCAAUGACCUCCAGUGGGAGUGAUCUUCUUGACCCCACAUGUAACCGUGUGCUUCCACACGCCUUUCCCUCACGUCUGUCACUAACCUCACUACUUCACUACUAUCUACUGCUUCCUCUUUUCUUCCUUCUCUGUGGUUCAAACCGUUACACCGUCUAGUCUUCCUGCCCUCAGAGGGUUUAGCGUUAGGGUUGAGAGUCAGGGUUUAGAGUCAGGGACAGAGCUGGUUAGGGAGGACUGCUUUUACACAAACCUCUUCACUUGCUUUUCGGAAUGGUGGUGACAUUUUGAAAAGAUUCAUUUGAGAAAAUGUUUUCCUCUGCUUUCCUUUACAAAAUUGUAUCAAACUUCUGUCAAGUGUUUUUGUUUAUAUAUUAAAAUCCCACAUUGACUUCUACAUGUUUGAUGCGGUUCAUUUAAUUGUCCUUUAACUUGGUUAAUGUCAAGCUAAACUCCUGCAUUGCAUUACAUUAAUAUACAUGAUUGUUAUUCAGCAAUGUUCACAUAAUCC
ensembl:lncRNA